rnacentral:lncRNA from 1 species
UGAGCAAGGACAGCUUGGAGGUUAAAAGCAAGAUACAGUCAGGUCUCACAUCGAGGUCACGCUGAUGAAAAAGGAACUACAGUACUGUUAUGUCAGUAACAUACAUCACAGUCGUACGUCUCCAGGCUUCUUAUCUUCCUUUGAACCUGACCUGGCUACUGUUUGGUGGAUUAUAGAGGAAAAGCUGUAAUGGGAAAGUAGGUUGGGUGAAGGGAUGAGAAAAAGGAAAGCAUCGUGGAGCACAUUAGCAGGCUUUCUCCAUGAAGAAGCAGCCCCAGGCUCCAGAAGCAGAUGAGAAGAUGAGGAGACAAGCAGAUGGAUUGCAAAAUGGUGCAAUAGAGAAAGAGAAAAGAAGAGGAAUGUCUGAACACUGAGAGAUUUCCAGCUGGGGUGGUCAGAGAAGGGUUCAGCCACAAGAUGGCCAAAAUCCAGGGAAGAUCUUCUUCCCACUCCAUUCCCUGCUUCUUGUUCCCCAUCCAUCCCACUGAGAGCCACCUCUACCACUCAAUAAAACCUCUCAUUCAUCCUUCAAGCCCGUGUGUGACCUGAUUUUUCCAAGAUGCUGGGCAAGAGCUCAGGACACAGAAAGCUGUUGAACUGCCCCUCUGCCCUUGCAGAAAGGCAGAGAGUCCACUGAGCUGAUUAACACCCAAGCCAUUCGUGGAUGGCAAGGCUAAAAGGGCACAUUGUAACACACUCCACUUAGGCUCCUUCACCUGCCUGUCUGUGUGCUCCCCCUCCCCUAAGGGGUUUGAGGAGUGCUGGUGACUGAACAGGCGAGCCACACCCAUCAUAUGUCCUUCGAGGGGGAUCAGGGAACUCUCCUGUUUCACUGUAAUAGAGAAAACUGGAGGAGGACCAGUUAUGGGACUGGGAAAGACCAGGAGUUCAGCUUUGGACCUGUUCAGUUUGAGUUGCCUGUAAGUCAGCCAGUGGAGAUGUUUUGUAGACAGCUGGAUACAUAUAUCUGAGCUCCAAGGAGUUAGAAGUAGUAAUUUUGGACUUGUGAGUGUAUAGAUCAUAACUGAAGACAUGGCAUGGAUGAGAUCACACAGGGAAAGAGUACACUAUGAGCAAACAAGACAGCCUCUAUCCAAGUUUUCGAGAAUUGCAAAAUUUAAAAAUUAAGUACAGGAGGUUGGGCUGGAAAGAUGAGAAAAUCAAGGGCACAUCAUAUUACAGAUGACAAUGAAUUUCAAGAAAGAGUCUAAUGUGAGACAUGUACAGAAGAGGUAAAGAAAAAUCAUUAAACUUAGUGAUAUGGAGGUCACUAGAGUCCUUCUAGAAAGCAAAAAAUUGCUUAGAAUUUCAAGGGGACCGUGGAGUUGUCCCCUUAUGUAUGCCCCUGAGCCCAGGUUAAGAACUCCUACCUGUGGAUUCCAAACAGUCAUCUAACAGGGUAACCUAACUGGAUUCAAAGUAUUAAUUUUCUACUCUCUCAAUGGCAAGAAAAAUUGCUUAGCUAACUUUAAUGUCAUUUGAAACUAUGUGAUUUUGUGUCCCAGGCAGGCUAGAGGUUCAAAGAAAGAGGUUAUAUUAAUAUAAAUAAGGCAGCUUCUUUAUUUGUCCAUCGGAAAGUCUGUUCGUCUGCAAUCAUAGAAAGCAUUAGAUAAAUCAGCUGCAGGGAGAUAGCUGUACAGAUGCGAAGCUCUGCCUGAUGAUUCCAGCCUAUUUUCCUGGCAUAAUCAACAGUGACUUAUUCCUUCCCUGGAAACUAAUCUUCCUGUUUGGACCAAUUGUAUUAUUCUUAACCACACCGUAGGUUAUGGGCAACAGCAUGAGUAAAAUCUGGGAAUUCCUGAGAUGCGCUUCCAAAAAACUAUGGUCGGGAAUAUGUAAAUCUGAAUAAAUAAGAGCAUGAGUUUAUAAAAAUUUCCAGUUCCACCCAAUAAACUCUCUUCCUCCCUUUUUUUAAGAGAUAAGAUCUCGCCCUGUCACCAGCCUCUCUCCCUUUUGACCAUUGAACCACUGAAACCCAACUCCAAUUACUGAAGCCAACUAUUUCAUAACUCAGUCUCUCACACUCUUGAGCAGAUUCAAUAAUAGGAAAGUUUAUCUUUCACUUUUUCUGUUUUGGUUCUGGUCCUGCUCUCUGGAUCUUUGUGUUAGUUUCCUAUGGCUGCCAUAACAAAUGACCACAAAUAUGGUGGCUGAAAAUGAUAGAAAUUUAUUCUCUCACAGUUCUAAAAGCAAGGUGUUUGCAGAACUACAUUCCAUCCAAAGGCUCUAGGGGCAGUCUGUUCUUACCUCCUCCAGCUUUUGAUGGCUCCAGAUGUUCCUCAGCGUGUGGCCACAUCACUCUAAUUUUUGCUUCUGUGGUCACAUUGCCUUCUCCUGUCCUCUGUAUGUCUCGUAUAAGGACACUUUUUACUGGAUUUAGGGCAUGCCCAGAUAAUCCAGAAUGAUCUCAUGUCUAGACUCUUAAAUUAUAUCUGCACAGACUCACUUAUGAAAUAAUAUCAUAUUCAUAGGUUCUGGGGAUUAGGAUGUAGACCUAUAUUUGGGGGGAUACAAUUCAACCCACUACCACCUCCAAUGAACACAUCUAUUUUCUCUUUCAUAGAACUGCUUUUUCAAUGGUUGAAGAAGCUGUUAGAUUUCCUCUUGUUCAUAUUAAGGAAAAAAUGGCUGAUGUUACUGAAGCUCUACAAUGUUCCAGGCAUGUGCCAAAAUAAUAUUACAAUGUUAGCGUCUAUUUUUACUUCCUAUUCAUUACCAUUUCCCUUUUGUGCGUUAUAACAGGUGGGGUCUUUUUGCUCACUGCCUCAGGAAAAGGAUGUGGCGAGGGAAAAAGAAUAGUAACUUAUUCUUAUUUUACAAAAUGCUAAAAUCUCAAGCUUUUGGGUAAAGUGAAUCAGCACACGUGUGGGGAGAGAGAAGGAACAGAGCAGAGACAGGGAGACGAUCUAUGGAUCCCAUGAAAGAGGGUGCAUGGGUAGAUGUGAUUGUGCUCAAACUGUCAAAUAGGAUGCUGCAAGGAGCCUGGGGCAAGUCACAACAGAAGAAUUACAAUUUGGCUGGUGUGGUGGCUCACGCCUGUAUUCCCAGCACUUUGGGAGGCCGAGGU